AUUAUUUUAAGCUGUAUAUUGGUAGUAAUUAAUAAUUUAUGAAAUCAUAAGAUUUUGGCGGUAUUUUAAGCUUAUUAGAGGAAUUUGCUCUGUAAUGGAUAUAACGCCUUAAUCUUACUUAAUUUGGUAAAAAGUCAAUUUGUAUACCACUAUAUUUAAUUAUAUUGAAUAAUAAUAUUUAAGAUUUUUUUUAUUGAAAAAUAUAUUAAGUCAAGGUGCAAUUUAUAAUUAUGAAUGAAGUGAAUUACAUUAAUUUUAAUUUUGUUAAAAUACUGAAAAGUUUUUUUAUAGGAUUUAAUAGUAAAAUGUUAAUAUUAUGAAUAUUUGAAUGAAGCUCUAAAAU
rnacentral:rRNA from 1 species